UACGUAGGGGGCAAGCGUUGUCCGGAUUUAUUGGGCGUAAAGAGCGUGUAGGCGGCUUGGUAGGUCUUGCGUCAAAACCUGAGGCUCAACCUCAGUUCGCGUGGGAAACCACCUAGCUAGAGUCCGGAAGAGGAGAACGGAAUCCCCAGUGUAGCGGUGAAAUGCGCAGAUAUUGGGAAGAACACCAGUGGCGAAGGCGGUUCUCUGGGACGGUACUGACGCUGAGACGCGAAAGCGUGGGGAGCGAACAGG
rnacentral:rRNA from 1 species